CAGCAGCCGCGGGAAUACGAAGGGUGCAAGCGUUAAUCGGAAUUACUGGGCGUAAAGCGUGCGUAGGCGGUGAGUUAAGUCUGCUGUGAAAUCCCCGGGCUCAACCUGGGAAUGGCAGUGGAUACUGGCUCGCUAGAGUGUGUCAGAGGAUGGUGGAAUUCCCGGUGUAGCGGUGAAAUGCGUAGAGAUCGGGAGGAACGUCAGUGGCGAAGGCGGCCAUCUGGGACAACACUGACGCUGAGGCACGAAAGCGUGGGGAGCAAACAGGAUUAGAUACCCCAGUAGUCCCUGUCUCUUAUAC
rnacentral:rRNA from 1 species